rnacentral:rRNA from 1 species
UACAGAGGUCCCAAGCGUUGUUCGGAUUCACUGGGCGUAAAGGGUGCGUAGGUGGCGGGGUAAGUCGGAUGUGAAAUCUCGGAGCUCAACUCCGAAAUGGCAUUGGAAACUACCCUGCUAGAGGGUCGGAGGGGGACUGGAAUACUUGGUGUAGCAGUGAAAUGCGCAGAUAUCAGGAGGAACACCGAUGGCGAAGGCAGGUCUCUGGGCCACUACUGACGCUGAGAAGCGAAAGCGUGGGGAGCGAACAGG